rnacentral:rRNA from 1 species
CAAUAGCGUAUAUUAAAGUUGUUGCAGUUAAAAAGCUCGUAGUUGGAUUUCUGUGAGAGUGCCGGUGUCGGCUGAUGCUUGUACGCAGGCGCUCUUACAUCCUUCUGUUAACUGAUCUUGGCAUUUUAUUGCUGGUUCAGGGCUCAGAUAUUUUACCUUGAGAAAAUUAGAGUGUUUCAGGCAGGCUUAUGCCGGAAUACAUUAGCAUGGAAUAAUGGAACAGGACCUGUGCGUCUUUCGGGGCGCCGGUCUCCGUUAUUGGUUUCGGGGACUAAAGUAAUGAUUAAUAGGGAUAGUUGGGGGCAUUAGUAUUUAAUAGUCAGAGGUGAAAUUCUCGGAUUUGUUAAAGACUAACUUAUGCGAAAGCAUUUGCCAAGGAUGUUUNCAUUA